AACUUUCAAUUAAAAACGACUCGUAUAAUGCCGGGAAUAAGGCCCGGAAGUUUCUACCCGGAAACCGUAAAUUUCCGGACUACGAGGGAAUACCGCAGGGGA
rnacentral:ncRNA from 2 species